rnacentral:lncRNA from 12 species
CGGAUAACUACUCUCAGGAGAGAGCAGGGCAUUGAUGCCUGGGGCACUUUGGAAGGCUGGACUUACACCUCUUUGGGAAUCCAGACACUGGGCACGUGCUUCCCACUCUAUCGGCUUGCAGUGGACAGCACAGUCUCACUCAGCAUUACACGUCAGUCCUUAGAAUGGUGCCACUGGCAGAUGGACAUGCAUUGGAAAAUACCUCAGCAAUACUUCCUUAAAUCUCCCCAUCAGUGUUGGUCCAAUGUCACGCUCUAAUUUUUUGUGCCACUGCAGAUACCAGCGUCCUAAUUUGGAACGUGGGAGGAUCGUGAGUGUUGAAUGCCACCAUCAGAAGGCUGGGAGGGGAAGUCUGAGGCGUGCCGGGCAGGCUCUGCUUUACUACCCUGGAGAAUAGUAGAAAGCGUGUGAAAUGAAGGCCCCGAUGAACCAAGAGCUCCUCAGAAUGUGACUGUUUCAUUAAGUAAGGUAUUAUCAAUUUUUAAAAUUUGAAUUCAAUUUUCCAACAUAUAGUACAACACCCAGUGCUCAUCACAUCACAUGCCCUCCUUAAUGCCUGUCACCCAGUUUCCCCUUCCCACCACCCCAUUUCCCUCCAGCAACUUUUUAAGUUAAAGGAAAAAAAGAAAUGUGAGUCAAGGGCUAACACUGCAUGACCAAAUCGCAAUAAGGAUUUUAAAAAGGGAUCAUUCUAAACUUAGGUUUUCAUUCAAAAACGAGUCUUCUAUAACUUUGAGUGUUUUGUGUGCUUUUUCUCAGAUGUGAAGCCUAUCUAA